rnacentral:sRNA from 12 species
CCCUGACAGUCCGGGGUUCGGACUGACACUAGCCACGACAGGAGAUAAAAAUG